rnacentral:lncRNA from 10 species
CCAUGUUAUUGUGUACUCAACUUCUCACCAUUUCCCAAAUGCCUUAAGCUUUUUAAUAAUUUCCUGCUUUUGUUGUUUUUCUUCUUUUCUUCUGUAUUCCUUAUUAAAUUUCAACUGGAAUCGAUGUUCUCUUGGGCACCUUAUAACUUACUGCUCAGCUCUGAAGAAGAAAUGAUUUUGUCUAUUUGUUUUGUUUUGUUUGUUGUAUUCAAUCAACUCUCAUUGCAUUUCUUCCUUUUGUGGUGUUGUCCAUUUCUGUUCUUAAUUUUUGUAUUUCUGAUUCUAGGUGGUUUUUUCUAAAUUCUCCAAAAUGCUUGUGUGAGGAUAUUUAAUUCAGUUUGGAGUGUUGUGUUAGAAUUUCUCUUUGCUUCAUGGUUUCUUGGCAGGGAGAGUUUUCAGCAGCUGUUUGGUUUCGUUCUGAUGUGUUUCUAUUCCUAGGCAUGUCAUGGGCACUCUUCUUGGUUUAGGAGCUCUCAUGUCUGGUGGCCCAGGACAGUGCUGGUGGAUGGUGAGGGUCUGGCAUGUCUUGCUUCUCUUUCACUGUGCAGUGUUUUCAAUUUCUCCUUCUUCCUUCACUGCCACAACAGCACCCCUCCUCUGUAGCUUUUUCUCUUCCAGAAGUAGCACCUCUCCAAAGCCUCCAGACUCCCUCAUCUUUGGGCCUUUCCCUACUUGUAGCUGGUCCUGAGAACUGCAAGCUCUUGGGCCUGUGUUUGAAAUGUGGGCAUUUAGUGCGGCACUUUCCUUGGGGAGUAUUUUGUCUGUGUUCUGUCAAAUCCUCUCCAUGCCCCUGUUUCCCUUUCAGUUUCCCUGCUCCUUAUACCUCACAGGUUUGUAGCAGCAGCAGGGGCUCUGUUGGAAAUUAGUGUUUAUUUCUCUACUUAUAGGUAAUUUGAAGUUUGUGGUAUUCUCUGUCCCUAAGAAUGCUGAACAGCUUGAGUCUUUUGAAGAUACUUGCCCUCUUCUUGAUUAUGUGGUCUUUUGGGAAGGAU